UACGUAGGGGGCAAGCGUUGUCCGGAUUUAUUGGGCGUAAAGAGCGUGUAGGCGGCCUUACAGGUCAGCUGUGAAAACUCGAGGCUCAACCUCGAGACGUCGGUUGAAACCGUAAGGCUAGAGUCCGGAAGGGGAGAGUGGAAUCCCGGUGUAGCGGUGAAAUGCGUAGAUAUUGGGAGGAACACCAGUGGCGAAGGCGGCUCACUGGACCGGUACUGACGCUGAGGCGCGAAAGCGUGGGGAGCAAACGGG
rnacentral:rRNA from 1 species